rnacentral:rRNA from 1 species
CCUACGGGGGGCUGCAGUGAGGGAUUUUCGGCAAUGGGCGAAAGCCUGACCGAGCGACGCCGCGUGAGCGAAGAAGGCCUUCGGGUCGUAAAGCUCUGUCUAGGGGAAAGAGUAAGGACGGUACCCCUGGAGGAAGCCACGGCUAACUACGUGCCAGCAGCCGCGGUAAUACGUAGGUGGCGAGCGUUGUCCGGAAUUACUGGGCGUAAAGGGCGCGCAGGCGGUUUGUUAAGUCCAUGGUGAAAUCCACCGGCUCAACUGGUGGGGGACCUUGGAUACUGGCAGGCUGGAGUGCGGGAGAGGGAAGCGGAAUUCCACGUGUAACGGUGAAAUGUAUAGAUAUGUGGAGGAACACCGGUGGCGAAGGCGGCUUCCUGGACCGUAACUGACGCUGAGGCGCGAAAGCUGGGGGAGCGAACAGGAUUAGAUACCCCUGUAGUC